AUUGAACGCUGGCGGCAGGCCUAACACAUGCAAGUCGAACGAGUGGCGGACGGGUGAGUAAUGUCUGGGAAACUGCCCGAUGGAGGGGGAUAACUACUGGAAACGGUAGCUAAUACCGCAUACCCUCGGAUGUGCCCAGACGGGAUUAGCUAGUCGGUGGGGUAACGGCUCACCUAGGCGACGAUCCCUAGCUGGUCUGAGAGGAUGACCUGCCCCACUGGAACUGGGCACCGGGCCAGACCCCGACGGGAGGCAGCAGUGGGGAAUAUUGCACAAUGGUCGCAAGCCUGAUGCAGCCAUGCCGCGUGGAUGAAGAAGGCCUUCGGGUUGUAAAGUACUUUCAGCGAGGAGGCGUUACGCGCAGAAGAAGCACCGGCUAACUCCGUGCCAGCAGCCGCGGUAAUAC
rnacentral:rRNA from 1 species